CCGGUGUAGCGGUGAAAUGCGUAGAGAUCGGGAGGAAUACCAGUGGCGAAGGCGGCUUUCUGGACUGACACUGACACUGAGGUGCGAAAGCGUGGGUAGCAAACAGGAUUAGAUACCCUGGUAGUCCACGCCGUAAACGAUGUCGACCAGCCGUUGGGUGCCUAGCGCACUUUGUGGCGAAGUUAACGCGAUAAGUCGACCGCCUGGGGAGUACGGCCGCAAGGUUAAAACUCAAAUGAAUUGACGGGGGCCCGCACAAGCGGUGGAGCAUGUGGUUUAAUUCGAUGCAACGCGAAGAACCUUACCUACUCUUGACAUCCUGCGAACUUGUGAGAGAUCACUUGGUGCCUUCGGGAGCGCAGAGACAGGUGCUGCAUGGCUGUCGUCAGCUCGUGUUGUGAAAUGUUGGGUUAAGUCCCGUAACGAGCGCAACCCUUGUCCUUAUUUGCCAGCGGGUAAUGCCGGGAACUCUAAGGAGACUGCCGGUGACAAACCGGAGGAAGGUGGGGACGACGUCAAGUCAUCAUGGCCCUUACGAGUAGGGCUACACACGUGCUACAAUGGCCGGUACAAAGGGUUGCGAGCUCGCGAGAGUCAGCUAAUCCCGAAAAGCCGGUCUCAGUCCGGAUCGGAGUCUGCAACUCGACUCCGUGAAGUCGGAAUCGCUAGUAAUCGUGAAUCAGAAUGUCACGGUGAAUACGUUCCCGGGCCUUGUACACACCGCCCGU
rnacentral:rRNA from 1 species